CCUACGGGUGGCAGCAGUGGGGAAUAUUGCACAAUGGGGGAAACCCUGAUGCAGCGACGCCGCGUGAGUGAAGAAGUAAUUCGGUAUGUAAAGCUCUAUCAGCAGGGAAGAAAAUGACGGUACCUGAGUAAGAAGCCCCGGCUAACUACGUGCCAGCAGCCGCGGUAAUACGCAGGGGGCAAGCGUUAUCCGGAUUUACUGGGUGUAAAGGGAGCGUAGACGGCAGGGCAAGUCUGGAGUGAAAGGCGGGGGCUCAACCCCCGGACUGCUCUGGAAACUGUACGGCUGGAGUGCAGGAGAGGUAAGUGGAAUUCCUGGUGUAGCGGUGAAAUGCGUAGAUAUUAGGAGGAACACCAGUGGCGAAGGCGGCUUACUGGACUGUAACUGACGUUGAGGCUCGAAAGCGUGGGGAGCAAACAGGAUUAGAUACCCGGGUAGUC
rnacentral:rRNA from 1 species